rnacentral:lncRNA from 14 species
CAGAUACAGAUGGUACUUACAAUUAAUUUCUUACAGAUAACCUGAUUGUACCCAGUUUAAACUUGAUCUACAAGGAAAGGCAUGUACAUUAAUCAAGGGAGUUCAGCUGCAGUGAAGCUCUGUGAUAUGUGUGCAUGCUGCCUGGUGCAUAGGUGGCUCAUGGAAACCCACAGCUGCUCCUUCACUAGAGACCAUGAAACCACAGUUGCAGUCGGGAGGAAUGAUGGCCACUUCAGCAGUACCUCAAGAUGUCACUGCACGAGAGGAGUCUCCCCAACCUCAGGAGUAAGACAUGGCUGCCCAAUUGGAACAUCAGUAGAGAGCCACUGAAAGGGGGAUUGCUGUGCAGACAGAAGAUUAACACAGACUGAUGACAAGCACUGAUUGUCUUCUUUUCAAUGAAUAAACUUGAGAUCUUCAGCCUUUAAGAUAUAUUU